rnacentral:tRNA from 1 species
GCCCUCAUAGUUAAAUGGAUAUAACUGCUCCGUCCUAAGGAGUAAUUGUGGGUUCGAUUCCUGCUGAGGGCA